UAAUAAGUGUUUUAUGGCACUUUUUAAAUCCAUAUCCACCUUGUGUGCAAUGUCAGUCGAUCUUCUUCAUGGAGAUCGGGCCAAACAUCAACCUUUAUCUUUUAACUCUUUGUCUGAAAAAUAUUAUGAAUAAACAAUUCAAAAUA
rnacentral:misc_RNA from 1 species